CAUAAUGGCUUUAAACGACCCGUCUUGGAACACGGACCAAGGAGUCUAACAUCUACGCGAGUGUUCGGGUGUCAAACCCGUGCGCGAAGUGAAAGCGAACGGAGGUGGGAACCCGCAAGGGUGCACCAUCGACCGAUCCUGAAGUCUUCGGAUGGAUUUGAGUAAGAGCAUAGCUGUUGGGACCCGAAAGAUGGUGAACUAUGCCUGAAU
rnacentral:rRNA from 1 species